CAGCCAUAACAGCCCGCUGGCUCGCACGGGGUGCUCUUCAUCGAGUGUCCCGCGUGGCCGGCAGAGUUUACUUUGAAAAAAUUAGAGUGCUCAAAGCAGGCUACACUGACGGCCUGAAUGCCUAUGCAUGGAAUAAUGGAAUAGGACCUCGGUUCUAUUUUGUCGGUUUUCUGAACCCGAGGUAAUGACUAAUAGGAACAGGCGGGGGCAUUCGUAUUGCGACGCUAGAGGUGAAAUUCUUGGACCGUCGCAAGACGAACUACUGCGAAAGCAUUUGCCAAGGAUGUUUUCAUUAAUCAAGAACGAAAGUUAGAGGUUCGAAGGCGAUCAGAUACCGCCCUAGUUCUAACCAUAAACGAUGCUGACCAGCGAUCCGCCGGCGUUAUUCCCAUGACCCGGCGGGCAGCUUCCGGGAAACCAAAGUCUUUGGGUUCCGGGGGAAGUAUGGUUGCAAAGCUGAAACUUAAAGGAAUUGACGGAAGGGCACCACCAGGAGUGGAGCCUGCGGCUUAAUUUGACUCAACACGGGGAACCUCACCAGGCCCAGACACCGGAAGGAUUGACAGAUUGAGAGCUCUUUCUCGAUUCGGUGGGUGGUGGUGCAUGGCCGUUCUUAGUUGGUGGAGCGAUUUGUCUGGUUAAUUCCGAUAAC
rnacentral:rRNA from 1 species